rnacentral:rRNA from 1 species
UAGGGAAUCUUCGGCAAUGGGGGCAACCCUGACCGAGCAACGCCGCGUGAGUGAAGAAGGUUUUCGGAUCGUAAAGCUCUGUUGUAAGAGAAGAACGUGUGUGAGAGUGGAAAGUUCACACAGUGACGGUAACUUACCAGAAAGGGACGACUAACUACGUGCCAGCAGCCGCGGUAAUACGUAGGUCCCGAGCGUUGUCCGGAUUUAUUGGGCGUAAAGCGAGCGAAGGCGGUUUAAUAAGUCUGAAGUUAAAGGCAGUGGCUUAACCAUUGUUCGCUUUGGAAACUGUUAAACUUGAGUGCAGAAGGGGAGAGUGGAAUUCCAUGUGUAGCGGUGAAAUGCGUAGAUAUAUGGAGGAACACCGGUGGCGAAAGCGGCUCUCUGGUCUGUAACUGACGCUGAGGCUCGAAAGCGUGGGGAGCAAACAGG